CCCUUGCACUCUUUAUCCAAAAGCCAUAGAAAUACAAACAGAGAAUACUUCCCCAGUGUAGAAAUCUCUUUAGCAGCAACAUCUUAGCUGAAAUUUCUAGGACACUAUUUUUGUACUUGCAUGUAUGAUUUGGCAGCAACAUCAGUUAUAGAAUGGUGUAUUAUGAGUAAUGAAUUUUAUCCUGAUCAUCAGUCCAUCGUAUUCUUAUGAGCUUUUAUGGGACCAAAAGAUGGUUUUGCAGGUGGGAAGAUUAACACCUAGGUCUCCAACUCAAAUCAGUAUGGUUUUGCAUAAUGUUCAUGAAAUUCAAAUUCAGUACAUGUUUUCGAAAGAACAAGGAAUAAGAAAAAUGUGUUAUUAGGGAUUUUUUUUUUUUUUUUGUUGGAAUGCUGAGGAUUUAUGUUUCUCUAGAAGAAUUACAGCUAUUUUCCACCAGUUCAGAGCUCUCUUUCAUGCAAUCCAUUUCCUAGAAAAGAGCACUUGGGAUCCUCGGUGACAUAUUUUGAGUGCCAAUCCAAUGCCACCUCUAAUAUUGCGCCAAGUGUUCUGUUAUUAUUUAUACUUUAAUUUUUUAAUAAUUUAAAUUAAUUUGAUUUAACACAAAUUUUCUCUACCCUCUAAAACUUUGAACCAAAAUUAAACAGCCGGUCUAAUUCAAAUACCAUCACUUUUGAGUUAACCACUCACGAUCCGGGAAAAAAGAAAAAGAAAACCUAAGCGAUUGAGCCACCAAAGUCUUUCAUCGGUGAUUGCUUUGAACAAAGCCAAAAAGAGACAAAGUCCCUGGAAGCUUGUGUAUCAUCUCCACUCAGAUGAGGUCCACACUUCAAUGACGUUCUCCAGCAGAUUCCUCCACCAGCUCCGCCAUUCCGCGUGGCAUCAUCUCCACUGCCAAUUGCCUCACCGUCAAAGGCACCAAGGACGUCCUCAAUAAGCCCUCCACUGGCAGGGAUACCGUGGAACAUUUCCAGAGAGUGAGUUGUUUCGGACGUCUAGAACUUCAAGAAUUGGAGGGAUUGAGCCAAAUAAGCGAUUAAAACUCAAGUAGAAGGGCAAAGCCAAAAUUACAUUGGAAAGGGGGAAAUUAAGCCCCUUGGAGGAGAACGAUGCAAGGUUCUUCAAAACUUCUACCAACAUUCCUUGGAGGAGAACGAUGAAGCCUAUGAUUCCCCAGAAGCAUUUCUUGUUGUGCAUCUCCUGAAAAAUUUUCUUCUCUUCAAAAAGCCUGGCAUUGACCACUGUGGAAACUUGGCACAGAACAUAGGUCGUGAAGAUAAGAGUAUUCUUCUCAUUCACAUUAACUUUCAGAAUUAAUUGGCCUUUAAAAUGGAUGGCCAGCAAUACUGCAAUAUGAUAUAUCGCCUGUGCACUUAUGCUUCUUUGCAUAACAUCAUUCAUCAAUGGUUCGUCCCGAUCCCUCGGUGGCUUGGACAUGAGCUCUUCAGAGGGCUGUUUAAUUAUCAGAGAAAUAGCAGCAAAGAAUCCCAGAAUUAGCUUGACCCACAGAAGUUGAAAAACUGGAUAUGGUAUUUUACCUGUAGAAAUGACUGCCAUAGCAUCAAAAUCUGGGGGCUCAAUCGCUUAGGUUUUCUUUUUCUUUUUCCCCAGAUCGUGAGUUGUUAACUCAAAAGUGAUGAUAUUUGAAUUAGACCGGUCGGUUAAUUUUGGUUCAAAGUUUUAGAGAGUAGAGAAAAUUUGUGUUAAAUCAAACCAAUUUGAAUUAUUAAAAAAUUAAAGUACAAAUAAUAACAGGACACUUGGCGUAAUAUUAGAGGUGGCAUUGGAUUGGCACUCAAAAUAUGUCACCGAGGAUCCCAAGUGAGAAAAGAGGACCCCUUGGACGGAGAAAUGGCUGAGCUCCUAGCUUUCAGCUUGUCCAUUUUGUUUCCAACCUUUUAACUCUGUAUAAAAAUAUUACAGUUUUAUACUAAUUUUAUCAAGUACUCUGCGAAUUAAUCAAGUGUAUAGUCAUGUUCAUCCUAAAUCAUGUGAAAGUAUGUAAUGUCUUGAUUAUAUAUUUCAAAUUAUAACCAACUACUAUAUGACAAUGAAAAAUAUAUUUAUGUUCCUGAAUAGUCCAAUUGCAAAGCUGUCCCCAAAAAAAUUAAAAAAUAAAUAGCCAUAUUGCAAAAAAUUUUAUAUUUUUACCUCACUCUUGAAACUUAAAGGAGUCGAUUAUCAAGCUAUGGAAUUAUAUAUACAUCCAAAUUAUACGUAUGUAUUAGAGGUUGGGGCGAUUUCAGGUACAACGGCCUGAACAUUACUGUGUAGUGUAAACACAUAGCAUUAUUUUUUUAAAAUUUAUAAUUCACCCUCAAUGAUAAGGGUAAUUUGUCCAAUAUAUUAAAAAACCUUUCCCACAAUUAGGAAAGAGCUAUUUACAUAAAUUAUUUGUAAAAAUUAUUCACUUUUUCACACUAACUUCUCACUCCUACUCCACGUAUUCUGCUCAACUUAUAUUAUUAUCUUUUUAUACAAUUAUCUACAUUAUAAAAUAACUUAACCAAUAAAAAAUAAUUUUCAUAAAUAUGUUUUUUAUUAAUUGCGCACAUGUUAGGGCGUGUCUCAAACACUAAUAUAAUUAAUUUCCCUAAUUUGCCAUAAAGAUUUUUUUUAAAAAAAUCUAUACCUUCGGUCGGACGUAAACUUCAAUUGAAUGACUCAGACCAACCCGAUCACGAUUGCAAAUUUGCAAUGGAGAUCCUAAAUCGUGCAAAGCAGGGCCAGAAAAAAAAAAAAAAAAAAAAAAAAAAAAAAAA
rnacentral:lncRNA from 1 species